CCUACGGGAGGCAGCAGUGAGGAAUCUUGGUCAAUGGACGAGAGUCUGAACCAGCCAAGUAGCGUGAAGGAUGACUGCCCUAUGGGUUGUAAACUUCUUUUAUAUGGGAAUAAAAUGUUCCACGUGUGGGAUUUUGUAUGUACCAUAUGAAUAAGGAUCGGCUAACUCCGUGCCAGCAGCCGCGGUAAUACGGAGGAUCCGAGCGUUAUCCGGAUUUAUUGGGUUUAAAGGGAGCGUAGGUGGAUUGUUAAGUCAGUUGUGAAAGUUUGCGGCUCAACCGUAAAAGUGCAGUUGAAACUGGCAGUCUUGAGUACAGUAGAGGUGGGCGGAAUUCGUGGUGUAGCGGUGAAAUGCUUAGAUAUCACGAAGAACUCCGAUUGCGAAGGCAGUUCACUGGACUGCAACUGACACUGAGGCUCGAAAGUGUGGGUAUCAAACAGGAUUAGAUACCCCAGUAGUC
rnacentral:rRNA from 1 species